rnacentral:rRNA from 1 species
CGGGAGGCAGCAGUGAGGAAUAUUGGUCAAUGGGCGGUAGCCUGAACCAGCCAAGUAGCGUGAAGGAUGAAGGCUCUAUGGGUCGUAAACUUCUUUUAUAUAAGAAUAAAGUGCAGUAUGUAUACUGUUUUGUAUGUAUUAUAUGAAUAAGGAUCGGCUAACUCCGUGCCAGCAGCCGCGGUAAUACGGAGGAUCCGAGCGUUAUCCGGAUUUAUUGGGUUUAAAGGGAGCGUAGGUGGACUGGUAAGUCAGUUGUGAAAGUUUGCGGCUCAACCGUAAAAUUGCAGUUGAUACUGUCAGUCUUGAGUACAGUAGAGGUGGGCGGAAUUCGUGGUGUAGCGGUGAAAUGCUUAGAUAUCACGAAGAACUCCGAUUGCGAAGGCAGCUCACUGGACUGCAACUGACACUGAUGCUCGAAAGUGUGGGUAUCAAACAGGAUUAGAUACCCUGGUAGUCCACACAGUAAACGAUGAAUACUCGCUGUUUGCGAUAUACAGUAAGCGGCC